UGAGACAGUUUGGUCCCUAUCUGCCGUGGGUGUAGGAUACUUGAGAAGAGUUGCUCCUAGUACGAGAGGACCGGAGUGAACGAACCUCUGGUGUACCGGUUAUUGCGCCAGCAGUAACGCCGGGUAGCUAUGUUCGGACGGGAUAAACGCUGAAAGCAUCUAAGCGUGAAGCCUCCUUCAAAACUAGGUAUCCCUAUCAGGGCCGUCGAAGACUACGACGUUGAUAGGCCGGAUGUGGAAGCGCUGCGAGGCGUGAAGCUAACCGGUACUAAUUGCCCGAUCGGCUUGAGAUU
rnacentral:rRNA from 1 species